rnacentral:lncRNA from 1 species
UUUUUUUUUUUUUUUUUGCAACAUCCGCAGCAUGCAGAAGUUUCCAGGCCAGGGAUUGAACCCAAGCCACAGCAGUGACAAUUCCAGAUCCUUAACCUAUGGAGCCACCAGGGAACUCUGGGCCAAGAAUUUUAAAUGGUGAGUACUGUCACUGCCCUCCAGCCAAAGACUAUCGCGAACACAGCUGUGGUAGCAAGACGGGUUUAUUGACCCUUGCAGCCGGGAGAAGACUCAGGGAACCACAGAGCAUCUCAGGAGAGCAGCGUUAGAGAGACCCUGUCAGGGCAUUGGGGUUCUGGUUGGGUAAUUUGGGACAGGUCCAAAGAAGCAGGGGCUCCUUCUAGAUUUAAUACUGUCAGAAAGCUGGAGGGCAGGGUGGUUUCCUCUGUGGCACAGUAUGUUCAUGAUCUGGCUUAUCUCUCUGGCAUUGCCAGGUUUGAUCCCUGGCCCGGCACAGUGGGUUAAGGAUCCAGCAUUGCUGCAGCUAUGGCACAGGUCACAGAAGCAGCUCAGAUUCCAUCCCUGGCCCAGAGGGGUGCAGCCAAAAAUGGGGGGGAGAAAAGAAAGUUGGGUGAGAUUCUGUGAUUGGGUAUUUUGUGGUUACCACAGUGACCUUGUUGUCUGUAAUGAGGUAAAAUUAUGACGUGGUCUUGUUUUAUUUCAUUUUAUGUUGGUCUCAGGUUGUAAGUCUGCGGGGUUACUCGUUCAAGAGGAAAACCGGUCUGUGAGCAUCAAAGCAGCCGUGUGAUACCACUGAGGUCUCACUGUCAAUGUCAGCUCACUUUCAGACACUGGGGACUGUGUGCUUUCUUUCCCAGACACCCCCCACCCCCAAUCUUUGGGCAAAGAUGAGAACAUUCAUUCAGGAAAUCCAGAUUUCCCCAGGUCGAGAUUUUGCUAAGAGCAGAAGAGUGUGCAUUGAGUGAAAUCUAUAGUUAAACUGAAGUUAACCUUUUCCUCUCCUUCUGUUGUAGGAUGGAUGAUGGACUUAUCUGAUGUGACAGUGGCUGUGUAGUAACAUUUAAGGCUCAGGCCAACUGUAAAAUAGGCAGCUAUCAAAAACAAAAUGACUAUCAGUCCUCGUAAUAGGUCUCUAGGCCAAAAGGUGAAGCGUUGCUUUCCUUUUUGGGAAAAACAAAGUGAUUCAAUUGUCCUUUCUUAAAUAGGAUUGAUGCGAUUUGUUCCUGAAUGGCUGUAAAUUGAAUCAGAACGUUGAUCUGGAUCUGCAGUCUUGAGCAGAAGCUGUCCACUUCUGAAGUCCGCAUCUUCCUAAGCAUCUCAGUUUAAGAUUUCCAAUGGCAUGAACGUCGCAUCGUCAGAAGGUAGUGUUUAUCUUUUGAGCUGGAAAAUAUUAACCUAAGGAUCAAUAUUGGGAGUUUCAAUGGUGGGUCGGUUAAUGCUGCGUUAAUAGGUCCUUUUAAUUGAAGUUCAAGGGCAGCUUAUCUCUGGCAUCUUUCCCAGAAUUCUUAAUCUCCUGUUCCUAAUGAUAACGGAGUUGUUUGGAAAUGCAGCUUGUAGCUGUUAAAUAAAGCUGGAGG